rnacentral:rRNA from 1 species
ACAACCUACCCUUGAGUGGGGAAUAACACCGCGAAAGCGGUGCUAAUACCGCAUAACAUCCUUUGGUUGCAUGACUGAGGGAUCAAAAGCGCAAGUUGCUUGAGGAGGGGUUCGCGGCUGAUUAGCUAGUUGGUGAGGUAACGGCCCACCAAGGCAACGAUCAGUAGCCGGCCUGAGAGGGCGAACGGCCACACUGGAACUGAGACACGGUCCAGACUCCUACGGGAGGCAGCAGUGGGGAAUUUUGCGCAAUGGGCGAAAGCCUGACGCAGCAACGCCGCGUGGAGGAUGAAGGUCUUCGGAUCGUAAACUCCUGUCGAUGGGGACGAAAGCCCGCAAGGGUUUGACUGUACCCGUUGAGGAAGCCACGGCUAACUCCGUGCCAGCAGCCGCGGUAAUACGGAGGUGGCAAGCGUUGUUCGGAAUUACUGGGCGUAAAGGGCGCGUAGGCGGUUUGGCAAGUCAGAUGUGAAAGCCCCGAGCUUAACUCGGGAAUUGCAUCUGAAACUGCUCAACUUGAGUCCUGGAUGGGGUAGUGGAAUUCCCAGUGUAGCGGUGAAAUGCGUAGAUAUUGGGAGGAACACCUGCGGCGAAGGCGGCUACCUGGACAGUGACUGACGCUGAGGCGCGAAAGCUAGGGGAGCG